CGGGGGAGGUAUCGUACAAUGUAGCCGUAUCGACGCCCCGAAAGGGAAGUGGCUUACGGGUGAGUAACGCGUGGGAACAUGCCCUUUGGUACGGAACAACAGCUGGAAACGGCUGCUAAUACCGUAUGCGCCCUACGGGGGAAAGAUUUAUCUCCGAAGGAUUGGCCCGCGUUGGAUUAGCUAGUUGGUGGGGUAAAGGCCUACCAAGGCGACGAUCCAUAGCUGGUCUGAGAGGAUGAUCAGCCACACUGGGACUGAGACACGGCCCCACUCCUACGGGAGGCAGCAGUGGGGAAUAUUGGACAAUGGGCGCAAGCCUGAUCCAGCCAUGCCGCGUGAGUGAUGAACGCCUUAGGGUUGUAAAGCUCUUUCAGCGAGGAGGAUAAUGACGCUACUCUCAUAAGAAUCCCCGGCUAACUUCGUGCCAGCAGCCGCGGUAAUACGAAUGGGGCUAGCGUUGUUCGGAAUCACUGGGCGUAAAGCGCACGUAGGCGGACUUUUAAGUCAGGGGUGAAAUCCCGGGGCUCAACCCUGGAACUGCCUUUGAUACUGGAAGUCUGGAGGCCGAUAGAGGUGAGUGGAACUCCGAGUGUACAGGUGAAAUUCGUAGAUAUUCUGAAGAACACCAGUGGCGAAUGCGGCUCACUGGCUCGGUACUGACGCUGAGGUGCGAAAGCGUGGUGGAGCAAACAGGAUUAGAUACCCUGGUAGUCCCACGCCGUAAACGAUGGAAGCUAGCCGUCAGGAUGCAUGCAUCUUGGUGGCGCAGCUAACGCAUUAACCUUCCCGCCUGGGGAGUACGGUCGCAGAUUAAAACUCAAAGGAAUUGACCGGGGUCUCGCACUAGCGAUGCAGCAUGUGGUUUAAAUUCGAGCCACGCGCAGAACCCUUACCAGCCCUUGACAUUUGCUGCCGACCUGAAAGAUCCAAGGGUUCCAUUACGCGGACCCCACGACAAGAUGCUGCAUGGGACUGUCGCUCAGCUCCGUGCUCAUGCACAUGUAGGAUCACGUUCCGCCACGAGCGUCAACCCCUUCGCCAUUUAGUUGCAGCAUUGAAUUUCGGCCAACUCUUAGCGGACUUGCUGGUGAUAAGUCCGAACAGGCAGUGCGGCACUUGAACUUCAGUCCUCAUUCUUACUGCUUGGCUACACGAUGCUCAAUUGCCAGCUGACCAAAUGC
rnacentral:rRNA from 1 species